rnacentral:rRNA from 1 species
AUUGAACGCUAGCGGGAUGCCUCACACAUGCAAGUCGAACGAGUCGAGGACGGGUGUGUAAUAUAUCGGAACGUGCCCCGUAGAGGGGGAUAACUACUCGAAAGAGUGGCUCAUACCGUAUACUAUUGGAGCGGCCGAUAUCGGAUUAGCUAGUUGGCGGGGAAAAGGCUCACCAAGGCAACGCUCCGUCGCGGGUUUGCGAGGACGACCGGCCACACUGGGACGGAGACACGGCCCAGUCUCCUACGGGAGGCGGCAGUGGGAAAUUUUGGAAAGUGGGGGAAACCCUGAUCCAGCCGGCCCGCGUGUAUGAGAGGGCCUUCGGGUUGUAAAGUCCUUUUGGCAGAGGAGCGGUAUCUGAGGAAUAGGCACCGGCUAACUACGUGCCAGCGGCCGCGGUAAUU